AUUGAACGCUGGCGGAAUGCUUUACACAUGCAAGUCGAGCGGCAGCGCGGCCUUCGGGCUGGCGGCGAGCGGCGAACGGGUGAGUAAUGCAUCGGAACAUGCCCAGUCGUGGGGGAUAACACUUCGAAAGAAGUGCUAAUACCGCAUACGUCCUGAGGGGGAAAGCGGGGGAUCGCAAGACCUCGCGCGAUUGGAUUGGCCGAUGUCAGAUUAGCUAGUUGGUGGGGUAAAGGCCUACCAAGGCGACGAUCUGUAGCUGGUCUGAGAGGAUGAUCAGCCACACUGGGACUGAGACACGGCCCAGACUCCUACGGGAGGCAGCAGUGGGGAAUUUUGGACAAUGGGGGCAACCCUGAUCCAGCCAUUCCGCGUGAGUGAAGAAGGCCUUCGGGUUGUAAAGCUCUUUCGGCAGGAACGAAACGGUGGGCUCUAACAUAGUCCGCUAAUGACGGUACCUGAAGAAGAAGCACCGGCUAACUACGUG
rnacentral:rRNA from 1 species